AUAAUAAUUGUCAAAAUGCCCUUGACGUCUUCUCAAAAACUGCCUUCUGCCUUCUGCCUUCUGCCUUUGACCGUUUGGUGCCAAAUCAGGGAGGAAGAGGAAGAGGAAGAGGAAGAGGCGGCCGCGACGGCGAUGGAAACCUCGACACAAGAAUCGCCUGUCAGCGCCAACGUCUUCACGUUCGACUCCCCCCACCCCGUCUACGCCAUGGCGUUCUCGCCUUCCUCCGCCUCCCCCCGGCUCGCCCUCGGGUCCUUCGUCGAGGACUAUUCCAACCGCGUCGAGGUGGUCGGCUUCGACGAGGACACUCUCGCCUUCCGGCCCGAUCCUGCCCUCUCCUUCGACCAUCCCUACCCUCCCACCAAGCUCAUGUUCCACCCCCUCUCCCUCCCCCUACUCGCCUCGGUUUGCGACUCCCUCCGCCUAUGGGGCCUCGGACCCGACUCCACCGAACUCCGAUCUGUCCUCGACAAUGGCAAGUCCAGUGGUUACUGCGCCCCCCUUACCUCCUUCGACUGGAACGACGUCGAGCCCCGCCGCGUCGGCACCUCCUCCAUCGACACCACUUGCACCAUCUGGGACGUCGAUCGCGGCGCCAUCGAGACGCAGCUUAUCGCCCACGACAAGGAGGUAUACGACAUCGCCUGGGGCGAGGCCGGCGUCUUCGCUUCCGUGUCGGCUGACGGAUCCGUCCGCAUGUUCGACCUCCGCGACAAGGAGCACUCCACGAUCGUCUACGAGAGCCCUCGCCCUGACACCCCUCUUCUCCGCCUCGCGUGGAACAAGGUCGACCGCUGCUACAUGGCCGUCACCACCAUGGACAGCAACCGCGUCGUCGUGCUCGACAUCCGCUCCCCGGCAGCCCCCGUUGCCGAGUUGCAGAGGCACCGCGCCAGCGUCAACGCCGUCGCGUGGGCCCCGCACGCCGCGCGGCAUAUUUGCUCAGCGGCGGACGAUGGCGAAGCCCUAAUUUGGGAAUUGCCGGCUCCCAUUACCGUGUCUGGUUCCUCGGCAGCCGCGACGACCGCAGUGGCGUCGGAAGGGAUAGAUCCUGUCCUAGUCUACUCGGCAGGUGCUGAAAUCAACCAACUGCAAUGGUCUUCUGCACAUCCUGAUUGGAUCGGUAUCGCCUUCUCCAACAAGGUGCAGCUGCUUAGGGUUUGAAAUCCUAAAAAGAUAUUCCAGAACUCUGUAGAUGUUGAAGUCUAGGAUGCCUUACACAAAUAUGUGGAGAUGACUUAGAGAUUUCAGGUAGCAGCCAGCAAUCAAUUUCUGUACCAUUAAUGCCAUGAACAGAGGUCUGCUAUACUCUCUUGAAUCUAAUGAUCUAAGAUAGUAGUCUUGUGAACCACACUAGUCGAAUCUCAUUUGAACUAGAUAGAUAAUAUUAUGCACUCUUUUACUCUAGAUUAUCGUUUGUUUGUCAAUUUGUAACUUAUUCCGCCUGUGUAUGGGAAAUGCAAACUCUGUUCGAUUGGCUGGUCA